rnacentral:lncRNA from 1 species
GCUUAGCAACCUGCUCGGGACCCCUCUCUGUGACUGUGAGCUGUUCUGUUCUUUUGCCUAUUAAACUCCUGCUCCAAACUCACUCGAUGUGUGUGUGCAUGUCCUUGACCUCAAUAUCUGGUCGUGUGACCAAGAACCUCAGUAUUCACCCCAGACAACAAGGCUGCUUCAUUUUGAGGGCUCGUCUGGGAUUUGAAGGUGACUUCAUCAGAAUGCUUUGCUGCUAAAGGGAUCUGCAGUCCAGCUGAAAACCUGCCCUUGCCUGAGCCCAGCCACUUUCUCCCAGAGAAAACUGGAGAACCUAAACAUGAUUGUGAACAGAAACCAUCAAGCUUCAGAUGGUGCUGAAAAUGGAGCCGAAAAUGAAACUGCCCUCCUACGAGGGACCCUUAAAUCAACCCCAGGAGGAGCCCUAGCUGCUGUUCCCCACACAACGCCACUCUCCAGCAGGAAGUAGCCAGAAGAAAUCGUCACCCAGUUUCCCCUAGCAGCAGUUAUGGAUUUCAUUCCUGAGGGGGGAAAUAUGUUAUAGGAGGCAGAAAGAAAUGAUUUAGGCGCAGUAAGAUUGAGGAGCUAAAAACAGACUUGGGUGGAUGUCUGCAGCUGCAAGAAGAUGUGUGGGAACAGACACAGAAACUCUCCCUCCCAGAUAAGCAAGACAAAGAAACACAGAAUAAGAGUCCAUCUAUGUGGUCAGAGAAUGGGAUAAGAGCUGAUUUAAAAAAACUCUGCUCUAUAUAGAAGGCACACCUGGUCCCAACCAAACCACUGGACCCUAGGAGGAUAAGACCUCCUCUGCUCAUGAGCCCCCUCCUCAGUAGCCCAUUUAUAAAAACCCUGACAAUUUUACUACCACUUGGCAACCCGCUCGGGACCCCUCUCUGUGAUGGAGAGCUGUUCUUUUCUUUUGCCUAUUAAACUCCUGCUCCAAAC